GGGGAAUAUUGGGCAAUGGGCGAAAGCCUGACCCAGCAACGCCGCGUGAGGGAAGAAGGUCUUCGGAUUGUAAACCUCUGUCCUUGGGGACGAAGGAAGUGACGGUACCCAAGGAGGAAGCUCCGGCUAACUACGUGCCAGCAGCCGCGGUAAUACGUAGGGAGCGAGCGUUGUCCGGAAUUACUGGGCGUAAAGGGUGCGUAGGCGGCAAGGCAAGUCAGAUGUGAAAUCCCCGGGCUUAACUCGGGAGCUGCAUUUGAAACUGCCGUGCUUGAGUGCAGGAGAGGAAAGCGGAAUUCCUAGUGUAGCGGUGAAAUGCGUAGAUAUUAGGAGGAACACCAGUGGCGAAGGCGGCUUUCUGGACUGUAACUGACGCUGAGGCACGAAAGCGUGGGGAGCAAAC
rnacentral:rRNA from 1 species